rfam:Macrostomum lignano unitig_42550, whole genome shotgun sequence.
GGGGUUCUAGUUUAGUGGUUAGAGCGUCGGACUCACGACUUGAAAGGUCGGGGUUCGAUUCCCGAUCCCCU